GACGAACGCUGGCGGCGUGCCUAAUACAUGCAAGUUGAGCGCUGAAGGUUGGUACUUGUACCGACUGGAUGAGCAGCGGACGGGUGAGUAACGCGUGGGGAAUCUGCCUUUGAGCGGGGGACAACAUUUGGAAACGAAUGCUAAUACCGCAUAAAACCUUUAAACACAAGUUUUAAGUUUGAAAGAUGCAAUUGCAUCACUCAAAGAUGAUCCCGCGUUGUAUUAGCUAGUUGGUGAGGUAAAGGCUCACCAAGGCGAUGAUACAUAGCCGACCUGAGAGGGUGAUCGGCCACAUUGGGACUGAGACACGGCCCAAACUCCUACGGGAGGCAGCAGUAGGGAAUCUUCGGAAAUGGACGAAAGGCUGACCGAGCAACGCCGCGGGAGGGAAGAAGGGUCUCGGAUCGGAAAACUCGGUUUGUAGAGAAGAAAGUUGGUGAGAGUGGAAAGCUCAUCAAGUGACGGUAACUACACAGAAAGGGACGGCUAACUACGUG
rnacentral:rRNA from 1 species